GUGGGGAAUAUUGGACAAUGGGCGCAAGCCUGAUCCAGCCAUGCCGCGUGAGUGAUGAAGGCCUUCGGGUUGUAAAGCUCUUUAGUCCACGAAUAUAAUGACUGUAGUGGAAGAAUAAGCCCCGGCUAACUUCGUGCCAGCAGCCGCGGUAAUACGAAGGGGGCGAGCGUUAUUCGGAAUCACUGGGCGUAAAGCGUGCGUAGGCUGUUUUGUAAGUCAGAAGCGAAAGCCCAGGGCUUAACCCUGGAAUUGCUUUUGAAACUACAAGACUCGAAUUCGGGAGAGGAUAGCGGAUUUGUCAGUGUAGCAGUGAAAUGCGUAGAUAUUGACAGGAACACCAGUGGCGCAAGCGGCUAUCUGGACCGAUAUUGACGCUGAGGCACGAAAGCGUGGGGAGCAAACAGGAUUAGAAACCCGUGUAGUCC
rnacentral:rRNA from 1 species